GCUCUAGUGGCGCAAUGGUUAGCGCGUUUGGCUGUUAUAGAAAUUCUAAAGUCUGCCGUGACCAAAAGGUUGGUGGUUCGAGUCCACCCUGGAGCG